rnacentral:rRNA from 1 species
UACGUAGGGUGCGAGCGUUAAUCGGAAUUACUGGGCGUAAAGCGUGCGCAGGCGGUUUUGUAAGCCAGAUGUGAAAUCCCCGGGCUUAACCUGGGAAUGGCAUUUGGGACUGCAAGGCUGGAGUGCGGCAGAGGAGACUGGAAUUCCUGGUGUAGCAGUGAAAUGCGUAGAUAUCAGGAGGAACACCGAUGGCGAAGGCAGCUCUCUGGGACGGUACUGACGCUGAGACGCGAAAGCGUGGGGAGCGAACAGG